GUCACUGCCACUGGGGUACUGUCACACCAUCACUGUCACUGGGACACUGCCACCCCUGCACUGGCACUGGGGCACUGCCACUGUUACACCUGCACUGUCACUGCCACUGUCACAGGGGCACUGUCAUUGUCACACCUGCACAGCCACUCUCACUGUCACAGCAGUACUGUCAUUGUCACACCUGCACUGUCACUGGGGCACUGUCAUUGCCACACCUGCACUGCCACUGUCACAGCAGUACUGCCACUGUCACACCUGCACCGCCACUUUCACAGGGACAUUGCCAUUGUCACUGUCACAGCAGCACAGCUGCUGUCACAGCUUCACCACCGCUGUCACCAUCACAGCAGUACUGUCACUGUAACACCUGCACAGCUGCUGUCACCACCACUGUCACAGCUGCACUGCCACUGUCACCAUCACAGCAGUACUGUCACACCUGUACUGCCACUGCCACCAUUACAGUAGUACUGUCACUGUCACACCUGUACUGCUGCUGUCACCACCGCUGUCACCAUCACAGCAGUACCAUCACUGACAUCUGCACUGCCACUGUCACCAUCACAGCAGUACCAUCACUGGGACAUCUGCAUGGCUGCUGUCAUCACCACUGUCACAUCUGCACUGCCACCGUCACCAUUACAGCAGUACUGUCACUGUCACAGCUGCACUGCCACUGUCACAGCUGCACCGCCACUGUCACCAUCACAGCAGUACUGAUGCUGUCACAGCUGCAUUGCCACUGUCACCAUCACAGCAGUACCAUCACUGUCACACCUGUACUGCUGCUGUCACCACCACUGUCACAGCAGCACCACCACUAUCACUGUCUCAGCACCAUCACCACUGUCCCUGUCACGCCUGCACUGUCCCCAUCACAGCACCAUCACCAUUGUCACUGUCACACCUGCACUGUCACCAUCACCAUUGUCACUGUCACACCUGCACUGUCCCCAUCACAGCACCAUCACCCCUGUCCCUGUCACACCUGCACUGUCCCCAUCACAGCACCAUCACCACUGUCACUGUCACACCUGCACUGUCCCCAUCACAGCUGCACCACCACUGUCCCUGUCACACCUGCACUGUCCCCAUCACAGCUGCACCACCAUUGUCACUGUCACACCUGCACUGUGCCCAUCACAGCACCAUCACNCUGGCCA
rnacentral:lncRNA from 1 species